AAUACACAAACAUCACACAUAUCCAUGGCACUCUCUAUGGACUUGAUCUAGUCAAAUGCUUUGUGUGAUCUUAAAAAAGAUGAAUACUCUGCGAGGUACAAAUAACUGGACUCCUGUCCUACUUCAUUCCUCUACUCUGCUCUGCUUCAUUGCGGUACUCCAAUAAAUCACGUUCACUUCUUUCAAAUGAUCGCCCCUUGUGUGAUAUAUGCAGUAUUCGCUUUUAUUUAUUUCUGGACUCUGGACUGGAUUAAUUAUGUUCAGCUUCUUAGUUUGUUUGCUAUUUAAUUUCUCUCCUUUGUGUAUGCCUUUGUAUUUAUUUAUAGCUGCCUGUAAUUACUGAUUACAUUUGAUCUUACCAGUGAUAAUGUCACGUCCAAUUUACAUUCUUUAGCCUUCCCCUACUUUAAGCACUAAAAUGAGCUUUUGAGCCAUAGUCGUGGUGCUUUUAUUCUGAAAAUCUAUGAGCGGAACUGGUUCCGCAAACAUCAGCUCGUCCUACAGUGACAGAGACCAACGAGAGCACUAAAUUUAAUGGCUUUUCAGCUGCUGAUUGAUGGCCUAGAAGCAGGAAACAUGGGCAAGCGUAAGGAUUUGAGUGACUUUGACAAGGGCCAAAUUGUGAUGGCUAGACGACUGGGUCAGAGCAUCUCCAAAACUGCAGCUCUUGUGGGGUGUUCCCGGUCUGCAGUGGUCAGUAUCUAUCAGAAGUGGUCCAAGGAGGGAACAGUGGUGAACCAUCGGCAGGGUCAUGGGCGACCGAGGCUGAUUGAUGCAUGUGGGGAGCAAAGGCUGGCCCAUGUGGUCCGAUCCAAUACACAAGCUACUGUAGCUCAAAUUGCCGAAAGAUUUAAUGCUGGUUCUGAUAAAAAGGUGUCAGAAUACACAGUGCAUCGCAGUUUGUUGCGUAUGGGACUUUGAUGCUUUGAGCAAUGUUCUGCUGGGAAACCUCGGGUCCUGCCAUCCAUCCAUUUGGUGUUACUUUCCAGACACUUCUCUGGAUCGUCGAUGAACAUCCCGAGUACACCACCUGUAAGAUAACCUCAGAGCUGAACAGACACCUCUGUCACAUGGUCUCUGUAAAGGUAUCUUUGCAGAUAUUGGCAUCUUUCGAGGAGCAGCCAAUCAGAAACCAGAGAUAGAAACUGAUUCCCCAAAGUUCGAUAGAAAGAACAGUGAGCCUUACAAAGAAUGUGAUGCAAAGACUCUGUCUGAACCCCAGGGUGUUGUGCACAACACAGAAGAAGCUGAACCUCAAAUCUGAAUGUGAAAAAGGUCACUACUCCCAAAGUUUCAUGACUGGAAUAAAGAACCUGAACCUCAGACUAAUUAAAAGGAAUUACUUCAUCUGAUGGUAGAUUUCAACAUUUUUAUUAUGUCCAGAUUGGUUCACUAGUAAUGCUCACAAUCAUGAUUUAAUUCCUUCAUUCCUCUCCCAAGCCUUUUUUAUGAGUUCAAAAGCCAACAUGGAACUUUUGGAAAUUAUUAGAAAAUAAACACUUGUUCUUCUGCAUUAAUGUGUCUGUAUAAAAUCCUCCACUAACUUUCUAAAAUAUUCCACAAGAUGUUCCUCACAGAGCUGAUGGUGGUCAUUGGAGACUAUCCUAUUUUCUGAACCAUUUAUUCAAUUCAUGGUCGCAGUACUGAGAAAUAUAUAAUAUUUUAUUAUUGGAGUAUUAAAAGUUUUUUUUAGGGAAGUGCUGUUUAUUUAGGGCUUAUGCUAUUUAGCUCAGCAGCAGUUACUUAUCUUACUAUGUAUCUCCCACCCUCUAGAGCAGGGUUGUUAAACCCACUUUGACCCACAGUUGGUUAAACCAGUGACCAGUGAAACUCCCCUUUCUGACAAUGCAAAGGACUCUACCUGCACAUUUAAUCCCUGAGAUAUCUUAAUAUGAGAAAAAGAAGUGCAGUUUCAACAGUACAUCUAGGUUUUUCCACAUAAUAAAGAAAUGCAGCUGUAGGAAAGAAUUUCUGGUAGCUCAUUCUCCAGACUGUCCUGUAAUUACAGGAAAGAUUUUUGAAUUCACAGAAAAUGUUCUUUAAAAAAACAAACAAACCAAAAAAUAUAGUCUACUUGUGAAAAGAAAAUUCUAUAGUAAACAGUGAAAACAGGAACCUUUCUGUCUUUUAAUUGUUUAUUUAUUACUUAAUUACUUUGCUGAAGUCUGAAUGGUGAUGGGGGAGGUCCUUAUUAGUAGGAAAAGCUGUAAAAUAAGAGUGAAACAGUGCCUCCUUCACUUAUUCCACAGCCAUCCAGUGGGCCAAAGUAGUCUUUACAAGGCUAUUUCUGGCCCCCAGCUAUGUUUGACUACCCUUUUUUAGGAUUGGGGUAUCAGCGCUAAACAA